AUGGGCCGGCCCUGCGAGGAGAUAAGGGAGGCAACCAGUAAUUUCACAGAGGCGCUGGUGAUCGGCGUGGGCGGCUUUGGGAAAGUGUUCUGCGGCGUCGUGGACGACGGUACCAAGACUAAAGUGGCCAUCAAGCGGUGGAACCCGUCACCGGAGCAGAGCAUGCACGAGGCCCAGGCGAAGAUCGAGGCGCUGUCCAAGCUGCGGCACCCGCACCUUGUCUCCCUCAUUGGCUUUUGUCUGUUUAAGAAGGAGAUGAUCCUCGUGUGCGAAUACAUGGAGCACGGCAGGCUUCGGGAGCACCUGUACAACAACAGCGGCAAGCCGGUGCUAUCAUGGCGGCACCGCCUCCACAUGUGCAUCGGCGCCGCGCGGGGCUUGCACUACCUCCACACCGGCGGCAUCAUCCACCGGAACGUCAAGACCACCACCAUCCUCAUCGACAAGAAUUGUGUCGCCAAGGUGUCGGACUUCGGCUUCCCCAAGUCCGCCCUGACCAGGGCGAGCCAAAUGCACCUCAGCACCAGUCAUGUCAACGGGAGCUACGGAUACACUGACCCGGAGUAUUUUUGUCGGGAGCAGCUCACCGCCAAGUCAGACGUCUACUCCUUCGGCGUCGUGCUCUUGGAGGUGCUUAUGGCAAGGACGGCGCUGAACCCGGCGCUGCCAAGUGACCAGGUCAGCCUCGCCAAAUACGCGCUUGCCUGCCAGAGGAACGGCACCCUGCCGGACGCCGUCGACCCGGUGAUCAAGGACAAGAUCACGCCAGAAUGCCUCGAGAAAUUCGCCGAGACGGCCGUGAGGUGCCUCGCUGACCAAGGCAUGGAGCGGCCUACCAUGGGGGGCGUGUUGUCGAACCUAGAGCUGGCGAUGCAGCUGCUUAAUUCCAUGCCGAUGCAAAAUAAACCACUGAUACAACAAUAUCAUAUGUUGUAUGUGUAG
rnacentral:rRNA from 1 species